CGGGUGAGUAACGCGUGGGUAACCUGCCAUAUACAGGGGGAUAACAGCGAGAAAUUGCUGCUAAAACCGCAUAAGCGCACGGAGUCGCAUGACUCAGUGUGAAAAACUCCGGUGGUAUAUGAUGGACCCGCGUCUGAUUAGCCAGUUGGCAGGGCAACGGCCUACCAAAGCGACGAUCAGUAGCCGGCCUGAGAGGGUGGACGGCCACAUUGGGACUGAGACACGGCCCAAACUCCUACGGGAGGCAGCAG
rnacentral:rRNA from 1 species